rnacentral:rRNA from 1 species
AACGAACGCUGGCGGCGUGCUUAACACAUGCAAGUCGAACGCGAAAGUCCUUCGGGGCGAGUAGAGUGGCGCACGGGUGAGUAAUGAAUAGGAACGUACCGAUUGGAGGGGGAUAACUUCGGGAAACCGGAGCUAAUACCGCGUAAGCUCUUUCGAGAGGAAAGGGGGCCUAUCCUUGGAAGCUUCCGCCGAUUGAUCGGCCUAUUUCCCAUUAGCUUGUUGGUAGGGUAAUGGCCUACCAAGGCAACGAUGGGUAGCUGGUCUGAGAGGACGAUCAGCCACACUGGAACUGAGACACGGUCCAG